AUACUCAAUGAUGAAGAAAUUGUUAUAUAUAUUCUUAGUGGUUACGAUGCUGACUAUACCACACAAGUAUCGUCUUUAAAUGCAAUGGUAGAUUCAAUUUCAGUCAACGAACUAUAUGCUCAAACUCUCAGCUAUGAGA
rfam:Zea mays cultivar B73 chromosome 2, whole genome shotgun sequence.